UACGUAGGGUGCAAGCGUUGUCCGGAAUUAUUGGGCGUAAAGAGCUCGUAGGCGGUUUGUUGCGUCGGCUGUGAAAUCCCGAGGCUCAGCCUCGGGUCUGCAGUCGAUACGAGCAAACUAGAGUGUUGCAGGGGAGACUGGAAUUCCUGGUGUAGCGGUGAAAUGCGCAGAUAUCAGGAGGAACACCGGUGGCGAAGGCGGAUCUCUGGGCCAUUACUGACGCUGAGGAGCGAAAGCGUGGGGAGCGAACAGG
rnacentral:rRNA from 1 species